rnacentral:rRNA from 1 species
AUAUCAAUAAGCGGAGGAAAAGAAACUAACAAGGAUUCCCCUAGUAACGGCGAGUGAACCGGGGAUGAGCUCAAAUUUGAAAUCUGGCCCUUGGGUCCGAGUUGUAAUCUAUAGAGGCGUUUUCCGCGCCGGACUGUGUCCAAGUCCCUUGGAAUAGGGUAUCAAAGAGGGUGACAAUCCCGUACUUGACACAACGACCGGUGCUAUGUGAUACGUCUUCGACGAGUCGAGUUGUUUGGGAAUGCAGCUCAAAAUGGGUGGUAAAUUCCAUCUAAAGCUAAAUAUUGGCGAGAGACCGAUAGCGAACAAGUACCGUGAGGGAAAGAUGAAAAGCACUUUGGAAAGAGAGUUAAACAGUAC